UACGAAGGGGGGCUAGCGUUGCUCGGAAUCACUGGGCGUAAAGCGCACGUAGGCGGAUCUUUUAAGUCAGGGGUGAAAUCCUGGAGCUCAACUCCAGAACUGCCUUUGAUACUGGGGAUCUCGAGUCCGGGAGAGGUGAGUGGAACUCCGAGUGUAGAGGUGAAAUUCGUAGAUAUUCGGAAGAACACCAGUGGCGAAGGCGGCUCACUGGCCCGGUACUGACGCUGAGGUGCGAAAGCGUGGGGAGCAAACAGG
rnacentral:rRNA from 1 species